GUGAAUCAUCGAAUUUUUGAACGCAAAUUGCACUCUCUUCGGAGAGUAUGCGUGUUUGAGGGUGAGACUAAAAAAAAUCGACAUAGUCGCCGUUUCGCGGUGACAUUCGUCGGAAAUUGGGUCAUCUUAAACAUUUGGGUUUUAAGCGGGUUAAACUUUUCUUUACGAUUCGACGAACGUUUUUAAGAUUUACUUCUUAUCCGUUAAAGGUAUUGAUCUUUAUUAGCCGUGGCCGUUG
rnacentral:misc_RNA from 1 species